AGUACCCGUACCGGAUACCGGUACUGUACCCGUACCUAGGCAACAUCACACAAAAGAAAAAACAAUACACAGAUUAUUUGAAUAAACUAGCUAGGCCUAGAUGAGCAACGAUAAAACUAAUUUCCCCUUCUUAUUCUUCCCCGGUCCUGUCCCGCCAGUGGUUUAAUCCCCUAGUCAAUCUAAGUCGAACUGCAGAAGAUGAGUUAAAAAUAAAAAUGUUAAAACAAAUAAAUUAAAGAAAAUGCUAACCAGUGUACAAGGAGUAGUUAAUUAAGAAACAUAGAAUAAAGACUUACGGUGAUUUGUCUUCCUCCUUUGCAGCCACCACCACCGCUGCAGUAGUAGAGGACGUUCCAGCGGCAGCAGAUGC
rnacentral:lncRNA from 1 species